GGGGGCCGCCGCUCCGCCUCGGCAGCCGCCGGGCCGCCCGCAACUUGGGGGAGAGCCAGCCCAGCGCCGAGCCGUGCCCGGGAGCGCCCCGCCAGCUCCUACUCCAAAAGACGGCAAGAAAAAGGGGAAAGAAGAGAGGGGACAGGAGCUGUAGAAAUACAGAGAUUAUGCACUCGGUUAAGAAGUGGACACCGUGGUCACCACAGCCCGGCUGCUCAGGUUGGAAGGCAGAAUUCCCUCAGUGUCCUGCCCAGUGCUGCUGGGAACCUGGUGAUCCCACAGCCGGGGCGUGGAACAUGGCACAGCUCUGGGAUCGAAGAGUAGCAACACCUCAACACUACUGUUCUUGUGUUACUGGCAGAUGGUAUUUAUAAUGUAUUAAUCUCAAAAUCACACUUGGAUUUUUUUGUAAGCGUAUAAAAGCACAACUAAUUAUCCUACACCCGGCCUUGGAUAGGAGCAUUUAAACAUUUAUCUCAAUACUAAAAGAAUUCAAACAGCUCUUUAUCAAACAUGGCAAUGCUGAUUUUGCUCUCUUAUCCAUAACCCCCUCCCCUCCAGCCCUUUUUACCUUCAUAAUGACAUGCAAUACAUUAAACUCCUAAAAUCAAUUCAGCUAAGGAAGAGGAGAUAGGGAUUAACAACCAGCUAAGAUUUUGGAAAGUAGUUUGCUCUAAAAGACGAAAAAGACAAAAGUCUGCUCAGCUAUGAAGAGCAGCUGCUGCCAAUACAAGUAUUUACCCCCUGACCCCUCCUCUGCCCACUCAGUGAACAGUGCCAAUUGUUUUCCUGUAUUAUACACUGUUUACAAGCCCUGAGUGGCAUGAAAGGAAUUAAUAAUUCAGCUCAUGGAGCUGAUGACCUUUAUUGGGGUACCCCUAUUUGCUGAGUAGGAAUCAGAGCAAAAAGCUCCCUUGAAGCCACAGGGUUUCUUUAAGAGUUUUUCACUUUACAGCCUAAUUGGCCACCAUAACAUAAAUCAAUUAUUUCUCCUGUUUUAAGCAACAAUGCUACCUAUUCUCAACCACUCGAUUUCUAACUUCUCUUGUAUCAAGCCAGCCCUUGUUCUUUGACUUUUACAAUGGUCUGGUAAACACACUGGCAAGGCCAGCCUGGAGAGCUUCGCAGGACCAGGAACAUUUGGGAACACCAGCAAAAAGAGGUUAUGCUAUUUUGAACUUCUCUUGACCUUUGCCUGCCCUUGUCCCUGGUUAUGCUAAUUGAAGGGGUAUAUGGGCUACUCCCAGAAAUGAACUUAGCCUGAACCUGUGACACAGUAUUGGACUUUGAAGAUGAGUUUGGCACCCCCUCCCCAAAGGCUGUCACCUCAUGUACAGGAAGGGACAGCAGGUCAAACACAGUACCCUGAGCACUGCAGGGAGACCCCAGGUGAGAGUGAGCAGAACGUGCUGACCCAGUGAGUCACAUCUUCCCCCGUGCCCAGUCAGCUGCCAGGGAUCAAUGGCAUGGAUCCACGUGGCAAACCCACGCUGUGCUUGUGGGGCUGUAGACAGAAGGACGUGGUCGUAGCACAGCCUCCACAGGCACAGGGUAUUCCAGAUGUGACUCUGCCAUGUCCCACAGGAGGCACUCAGUGCUCCUCUUAACCUCCUGGCUCUCAGACCAGCACAUGAUGGGCUGUCUCCACCACAAGCACAUCCUGACUCAUUGUGAGGUUCUCCAGGACCCCAGGUCACCCUGCUGAGCUGCUCCCCAGCCUGUACUAUUCCAUGGGGUUAUUGCAUUCCAGAUGCAGGACUUGGUGUUUGUCUCAAUGUUUAACUUUGAAGUUUCAAUCAACCCUUUCCUUCAGGUUAUGAAGGUCCUCCUGAACAGCAGCUGUGCCCUCAUCGUGGUGUCAGCUGCAAGUGUGACGAGUGUGUCCAUCCCAUCAUCCCCAUGGCUGACAAAAUUGCUAAACAGUAUUGGCCCUAAUAUUGACUCCCAAGGACAACCACAGCAUAACAGGCCACCAGUUAGUGCUUGGACCCUUGACUGCCACCCUUUGAACAAAACAGCCCAGUUUGUCACCCAGUUUGUCUACAAAGAUGAUAUGGGAGAGACUGUGUCAAAAGCCUUGCCUAAAGUUAAAGUUAGUGACAAAAUUACUGUCUCCUCAUUCAAGGAUCCAGGAAUGAGGCUGGUCAGGCAUGAUCUUCCCUUGAUAAACCCACAGUGACUGUUCCCAAUUACCCUCCUAUCCUUCAAGUGCCUGGAAGGGUCUUUUGGGAGGAUUUGCUCCAUACCCUUCCCACUGAAGGAAUGAGACAAGGAUGACCAGCCUGCAGUUCGCCAGAGCAGCUACUACUGAGCAGAGCUGAGUUAAAGGUGAUUCAUUGUCCCUUAUCAGCUAAAUUUUACUAUACAGAGACAUUCCUCCCCUUUCCCCUACAUUGGGUAGAGCUUGCCUUACCUCAACACUGAAAACACACACUGUUUGCAGAAAGAAGUGGGAAGUAAGGUCAUUGUGAUAAAUAUUUUUACUCAUUUUCCUUUACACAGAAAACAAUCCUAGUUCCUGCUUACCAACAAAACUGAAAGGAAACCUACACAGAGUUGAAUGUUCCAUGAACCUGCACUGCGUUCCUCAAUAAACACUCUACAGACA